rnacentral:rRNA from 1 species
ACAUGCAAGUCGAGCGGCAGCGCGGGGCAACCUGGCGGCGAGCGGCGAACGGGUGAGUAACACAUCGGAACGUACCCUAUCGUGGGGGAUAACGAAUCGAAAGAUUCGCUAAUACCGCAUACGACCUGAGGGUGAAAGCGGGGGAUCGGCAACGACCUCGCGCGACGGGAGCGGCCGAUGGCGGAUUAGCUAGUUGGUGGGGUAAAGGCCCACCAAGGCGACGAUCCGUAGCUGGUCUGAGAGGAUGAUCAGCCACACUGGAACUGAGACACGGUCCAGACUCCUACGGGAGGCAGCAGUGGGGAAUUUUGGACAAUGGGCGCAAGCCUGAUCCAGCCAUUCCGCGUGAGUGAAGAAGGCCUUCGGGUUGUAAAGCUCUUUCGGCAGGAACGAAACGGUGGGCUCUAACAUAGCCUGUCAAUGACGGUACCUGAAGAUGGAAGCACCGGCUAACUACGUGCCAGCAGCCGCGGUAAUACGUANGGUGCGAGCGUUAAUCGGAAUUACUGCNGCGUAAGCGUGCGCAGGCGGCUUUGUAAGACAGGUGUGAAACCCCGGGCUUAACCUGGGAACUGCGCUUGUGACUGCAAGGCUUGAGUGCGGCAGAGGGGGGUGGAAUUCCACGUGUAGCAGUGAAAUGCGUAGAGAUGUGGAGGAGCACCGAUGGCGAAGGCAGCCCCCUGGGUCGACACGGACGCUCAUGCACGAAAGCGUGGGUAGCAAACAGGAUUAGAUACCCCGGUAGUCCACGCCCUAAACGAUGAGGGCUGGGUGUCGGCAGGGAUUCCUGUCGGUGCCGAAGCCAACGCGUUAAGCCCUCCGCCUGGGGACUACGAACGCAAGUUUAAAACUCAAAGGAAUAGACGGGGGCCCGCACAAGCAGCGGAGCGUGUGGUUCAAUUCGAUGUAACACGAAGAACCUUACCAGGGCUUGACAUGUAUGUGGUAGGAAAGUGAAAGCGGACCGACCCGCAAGGGAGCGUACACAGGUGCUGCAUGGCUGUCGUCAGCUCGUGCCGUGAGGUGUUGGGUUAAGUCCCGCAACGAGCGCA